UAGUUGAAUAAGUUGUGCUUGACUCCCU
rnacentral:piRNA from 1 species